rnacentral:lncRNA from 10 species
CAGCUCGCCCCCUAGCUACAUCCGUCACCUGACACGGCCCUACCAGGAACAGCCGCGCUCCCGCGGAUUCUGAUUUGGAAAACAAGCGAAAUUAAACUAAACCGCUGCACGCCUCUGACGCGACAUCUGGACACGGCGCGGCGCUGGCGCUGCCGGAGCUGUCGACCCGGCCUGGCGCCGGACUAGGACUAUUUGCCACGACAUUUCAAAGGAUUCCAAGAGAGAAUAUUGGUGUCCAUGCUGUGAUGAUUCCUCAGCUCCUCUCAUCUGAUCUCCGUCCUGGCCCCCAUGACUUUCUUUGUGGUAGUUAGGGUGUGGUAUGUGCCACUGAGGCCCACACCUAUUGCUGCAAUUUAUAGCACUGAUCUGUCAUCAAUACCACUUGCUGUCUUGGAUGUGAAGAUGAUUUUUCCUGCAGGGAUUCCCUCUACAAAAUUAAAAACACUGGGCAUGUGGAAAUAAUAUUCAUGCUUUAAAUUGUCUUUUCUCUUCACUACACCAGGGGUCCCCAACCCCUAGGCCACAGACUGUGGCCCUAGUGUAGUGAAUAGAAAAGACAAUUUAAAGCGUGAAUAUUAUUUCCUCAUGCCCAGUGUUUUUAAUUUUGUACUGGUCUGUGGCUUGUUAGAAA